GCUGGCGUAGCUCAAUCGGUAGAGCAACUGAUUUGUAAUCAGUAGGUUGCGGGUUCGAGUCCCAUCGCCAGCUCCA
rnacentral:tRNA from 1 species